UCCCAAUUCCUCGAGAAUCAG
rnacentral:piRNA from 1 species